rnacentral:tRNA from 1 species
GCGACCGUGGUGUAACGGUUAACACUGCAGGUUGUGGUCCUGCCAAUUCGGGUUCGAUUCCCGGCGGUCGCCCCA